UACGGAGGGGGCUAGCGUUGUUCGGAAUUACUGGGCGUAAAGCGCACGUAGGCGGCUUUGUAAGUUAGAGGUGAGAGCCCAGGGCUUAACCCUGGAAUUGCCUUUAAGACUGCAUCGCUAGAAUCGUGGAGAGGUGAGUGGAAUUCCGAGUGUAGAGGUGAAAUUCGUAGAUAUUCGGAAGAACACCAGUGGCGAAGGCGGCCCGCUGGGCAGUGGCUGACGCUGAGGCGCGACAGCGUGGGGAGCAAACAGG
rnacentral:rRNA from 1 species